CUCCGCCGGACGGACAUAAAAAAAAAAAAAAAACCAACAAACAAACAAACGGAAACCAACAUCGCGCAAACGGAAAAACGCCGCGCCCCGGAGAAACAAACAACAACCGCCGCGGCCUUUGCGGCGGCCGAGGAUUCAUCACUGCGGCGUGUAACCGCGGGUAGUAGGUACGGGCACGGGGCUACACAGACGUGUGUUGUGCAGGUAAACAAUGAUAACCCGCAAGAAAAUCAAACGAGCGUCCGUUUUCCACAUGCAUUACACCACGCCAUUAUAUUAUUGUUAAUAAUAAUCGUUUUGAAAAUAUUAAAGAGUUCAUGAAAAAAAAAAAAAAACAAAAUAAUAAUAAUAACAAUAAUAAUAAAAAUAAUAAUACAAAUCAAAUGUAAUAAUAAUGAGAAGAACAGCGAGAGCCGAGAAAACAAUACUUUUUGCGUUCGGGAGAAAAAUAAUGAGAGUAUCGUAUAUAUAUAUAUAUAUAUACUAUUUUCAAUAUAGCAGUACUAGUAGUAAACAUUGUUUAAGCCACAAAAAAAAAAGAAAAAAGAAAAGUAACAUUAAAUGAGAAAAAAAAAAAAAAAAAGUUAAAAGACGCGAAUUUCGCGCGUCACAACACACGAUAGACUGGAUUCUUGUU